GGGGAUUGUUCUGCCACAUCGUGCUGCUUAAGUCUGGGAGCCAGGGUGGGAGGUACUGGGUUACAAGAAGGGAACAGGUGUGAGGGGUGACAACAUACUCAUUCAGCUUUGGACUCGUGCCUGUGGGGGUCCUGUAGGAGAUCUUGCGGACCUGUGCAGUGGGCCGUCGGAAAGGCAAGCCUGACCCUUUCAAGAGAGGUCAGGCCUGGAGACCAAGGGUGAGGCCCCUCCAUAAAGAGAAGGUGGUUGAAGCCCAUGGAUUAGAUGCUUGUGAAGAGCACAGAGUGGGAAGAGAAAGGAGCAGUGACAGAACCAUGAGAAGCACAAUAGAGGGCGGGGAGAGGCAGACCUGACAUGGGGCAGACUCAAAUCCCGCCCUCAUGGACCUUACAGAGCUGCCACAAGCAUUCGUAAUUCUUAUCUAAGCAGACAGGGUCAAGUGACUAAGAGAGGACCAAGGACCUCAUUUCCAGGAGUGAGGCCAGGAAGACUCCAUGAAGGAGGGUGUUUUAACCAGGCUUUGGACCAAGCGCGGGAUGAGGACUGGCAAGAGAUGGUUAGACACACAAAGCCUUAGGAAAUGAAUACAGGAGGCCAGGCCUUUUUACCCAGUACGAUCUGUCGUUGGAUGUGGGCUGCCCCGGAAGGAAGCACGAUCCUGGGCGAGCCAGUUUUCUUCAGCAGAGGUGAUCCCCAAAGAGAGCUGACAGCUGAGCACCCUUGUCUGGCAGCACUCCCAGCAGCCUGGGGAAUAAGUUCUCCCUUCCUGAAGGGGGUCUGGAUGACGCAUGACAGCAGCUACUUCUCUGUCCUUCAGUUUCCCCAUCUGCAUAAUGGGAAUAACAAUAAGACCUAUCUUGUAUGGUUGCUAGGAGACAAAAUUAGGUGGGAAUACCCAUGGCUAACAUUUAUUGAGCGCUUACUUUAUAUCUGUCAGGCACACCUGUCCAGAAGUUCAUACUUGUAUGUUGCCCUGCAUAUGGUAAGCACCCAGGAAACAGUAGCUAUUAUCAGAGGGGAGGUGUUCAAGGUCACACAGCUGCCAGAGCCAAGAUCGGAACCCAGAUUUCCUGACUCUCAGGCAAAUGUCCCUUCUUUGAUAAUAGAUCCCCUCUCUGCAUGGGCCUAAUCGUGUCUUCUUUUCAUGACACUAAUAGUGUUUUUAUGCAAUGAAG
rnacentral:lncRNA from 1 species